UACGUAGGGUGCAAGCGUUGUCCGGAAUUAUUGGGCGUAAAGAGCUUGUAGGCGGUUUGUCGCGUCUGCUGUGAAAUUUCGGGGCUCAACCUCGGGCUUGCAGUGGGUACGGGCAGACUAGAGUGCGGUAGGGGUGACUGGAAUUCCUGGUGUAGCGGUGGAAUGCGCAGAUAUCAGGAGGAACACCGAUGGCGAAGGCAGGUCACUGGGCCGCAACUGACGCUGAGGAGCGAAAGCAUGGGGAGCGAACAGG
rnacentral:rRNA from 1 species